GACGAACGCUGGCGGCGUGCUUAACACAUGCAAGUCGAACGGAAAGGCCCUGCUUUUGUGGGGUGCUCGAGUGGCGAACGGGUGAGUAACACGUGAGUAACCUGCCCUUGACUUUGGGAUAACUUCAGGAAACUGGGGCUAAUACCGGAUAGGAGCUCCUGCUGCAUGGUGGUGGUUGGAAAGUUUCCGCGGUUGGGGAUGUACUCGCGGCUUAUCAGCUUGUUGGUGGGGUAGUGGCUUACCAAGGCUUUGACGGGUAGCCGGCCUGAGAGGGUGACCGGCCACAUUGGGACUGAGGUACGGGCCAGAGUCCUACGGGAGGCAGCAGUGGGAAAUAUUGCACGAUGGGCGGAAGCCUGAUGCAGCAACGCCGCGUGCGGGAUGACGGCCUUCGGGUUGUAAACCGCUUUCGCCUGUGACGAAGCGUGAGUGACGGUAAUGGGUAAAGAAGCACCGGCUAACUACGUG
rnacentral:rRNA from 1 species